CGAUCCUCCAACUUCAGCCCCCUGAGUAGCUGGGACUACAGAUCCCAGGUACCGAACUGAAGAUGGUAGAGGAAAAGUUUUUCCUGCUUAACAUAUUCAACUCUCUACCCUCAAUAUAUUUGGCUGUUAUUAUUCUGGUUUACAUGUAUCAUAAUUUAACCAGUUCCCUACUGGUGGAUGUCUAGGUUUCCCCGAUGUUUUGCUAUUAAAAACACACAUGGUACACGUUUUUCUAGAUCGGGCAGGGUUUGCCCAUCUCCACUUCAAGCAGCACAACCACCAUCUGCCAGUGUUGGGGUUUACUCUACAGUCAGCAAACACUGUUGGCACAUCCAGUCAGAGAAACUGAAAACAGAAAGCAGAAAUGGCUUACACUGGACUAAUUUUAGAAUUUCUAAGUACAUUUAAGUGAUGACUCAUCCCACUUAAAUUCAAAGCUGUUUGUUGUGCCAUCUGGCUCAUCAGAACAUGAAAGACUUCUCCUGCAACCUGGAAAAAGGCCAGAGAGGAAGACGAAUGGAGGAGUCAACCCCAUGGGAAUGCUGACUGAGUGUUAGCUCCCCGUGGACAGGAAUGUCACUGCAUGAAUAGGCUGCAGUAUGUCUGGGCCUGUUUUUUUUUCAUAAAAUGUUCCCCCCCUGUUUUUUUCUUAUUCCAAAGCAAUGCAACAAAAAGCACAAGAAAUCAAAAAGGAAAAAAUAGAUAUUGGACUUCAUCAAAAUGAAAAACUUUUGUGCUUCAAAGGAAAUGGAAAGAAAGUGAAAAAACAACUGAGGGAAUGGAAGAAAAUAUUCUCAAAUCAUCAUCUAACAAAGGUUGUGUUAGUCUGUUCAGGUUGCUGUAACAAAAUAUCAUUUCAGGUCACCAGGUGGCUUAAACAACAGAUUCAGUUGGCCCUCCGUAUCCAUGGGUUUCAGGCCUUCGACUUCAACCAACCUCAAAUAAAAAAUAUUUUUAAAACCCAA